UACGGAGGGUGCAAGCGUUAUCCGGAUUCACUGGGUUUAAAGGGUGCGUAGGUGGUUCUGUAAGUCAGUGGUGAAAUCUCCGGGCUUAACCCGGAAACUGCCAUUGAUACUAUAGGUCUUGAAUUUUCUGGAGGUCAGCGGAAUAUGUCAUGUAGCGGUGAAAUGCUUAGAUAUGACAUAGAACACCAAUUGCGAAGGCAGCUGGCUGCAGGAACAUUGACACUGAGGCACGAAAGCGUGGGGAUCAAACAGG
rnacentral:rRNA from 1 species